UGUUCUGUAGCUUAGUUGAUUAAAGCGCCAGACUAGCGAUAACGGAGUCGUGGGUUCGAAUCCCUCCAAAACAA
rfam:Aedes albopictus isolate Foshan contig68572, whole genome shotgun sequence.